GCCUAGUUCUCAAAUUAUUUCCCUAAAAACUGCCUAGUUCUCAACUUAUCUC
rnacentral:sRNA from 1 species